UUUGUACUCCCUCCGUUCCAAAAUUUUUGUCUUAGAUUUGUCUAGAUAUGAAUGUAUCUAACACUAAAACGUAAUUAGAUACAUUCGUAUUUAGACAAAUUUAAAACAAAAUUUUUGGGACGGAGGAAGUAUAUG
rfam:Triticum aestivum genome assembly, contig: Triticum_aestivum_CS42_TGACv1_scaffold_050250_1BS